rnacentral:rRNA from 1 species
UACGUAGGGGGCGAGCGUUGUCCGGAAUCAUUGGGCGUAAAGAGCGUGUAGGUGGACUGGAAGGUCUGGUGUGAAAGCCCGGGGCUCAACCCCGGAGGGUCACUGGAAACCAACAGUCUUGAGUCUGGAAGAGGAGAGUGGAAUUCCUGGUGUAGCGGUGGAAUGCGCAGAUAUCAGGAGGAACACCAAUGGCGAAGGCAGCUCUCUGGUACAUGACUGACACUGAGACGCGAAAGCGUGGGGAGCGAACAGG